GUGCCAGCAGCCGCGGUAAUACCGGCAGCUCGAGUGAUGUCCCAUAUUAUUGGGCCUAAAGCGUCCGUAGCUGGCCGCACAAGUCCAUCGGAAAAUCCACCCGCCCAACGGGUGGGCGUCCGGUGGAAACUGUGUGGCUUGGGACCGGAAGGCGCGACGGGUACGUCCGGGGUAGGAGUGAAAUCCCGUAAUCCUGGACGGACCGCCGAUGGCGAAAGCACGUCGCGAAGACGGAUCCGACAGUGAGGGACGAAAGCUAGGGUCUCGAACCGGAUUAGAUACCCUUGUAGUCC
rnacentral:rRNA from 1 species